AAAUAUAUUUUUAGUGUUCGGUGAUCUUGUCGUCUUUGCGAUAGUCUUCGACAUUUUCUGCGCUCUUUUUAUUCGAGAAAAAGAACUGGAGCAGAAUUACAAACGAACGAGAUAUUUGACAUCGAACCUCAGUAAAAUUAAAACUAUAUAAAUUUCUUGUUUCGAAACAAGCAACAGCAAAUCGAUCAAAAUGUUUAAAAGCCAUUUGGAAAUGAUUGGUCGCAAUGAGACCCCCAGCAAGAAGGCGAAAUUCUGGCAAUCUUACAUCAGAUCCUUGAAGGGAUCCGAAGACAUCCGUGCUCAUGAGACACCACGCGUCAGCCGUCCAUACAGCUCGUACUUGGACUCGCCAGCCACAUACAGGAGCAUCUUCGAUGAACCCGCCACUGCCAACGAGCGUGUGCAGUCGCAUGGCUACAGAUACUUGCCAGUGAGCAGAGACACCUAUGGCUACUCGCCACGUGCCAUCUAUGAUCAUCACUACAGCAGAACAAUUCCAGCCAACUACGACGCAGAGAGGGCUUGGAAUGAUCACUUGAAGCGCAUGCAAGAAAUCGAACGCAGAUACCCAUCUCGUUACGGUCUCUACUUGAAGGACAAGCCAUACACACCAAACGCUUUGGUGCCUUUGGAAUACGAGCCAGAGGAUAAGCUGCUCCAAGAACUCAACAAGGCGCGCCGAUCACCAUCACCACGUCCAGGCCGUUGGACUCGUGCUGGCAGUGAACCGUACGUGCCACCACCAACCUACUGGAGCCGCGCACCAAGCGUGUCGCGCGCACCAUCUGCUUUUGAACGCGCACGCAGCUUGGCACCAGCCUUGAUCGAUCGUGCACGCAGCUUGGCACCCAGGCCAUUGUUCCGUGCCAGCUCGUUGGAACCAUUGGAUGAACUCUUUGAUAGUAAGUUAGCUGAUAGAACUUUUGAGCGUGCCGGCUCACCAAGUCCCACUCCCGUUAAGGCUGGCCGCUGGGGACCACGCCCCAAUGAAGUCUCCUAUGAUGCUAAUGGACUUCCCAUCUUCCAUCCACGCAAUCGCUUCAGGGAUUUGUUGAACCCCAAUCCUUAUGCGCCCAUCUCAGCAUUCACACGCGAUCCCUUCUGGUGGGAUGUCGAUGAUUUGGUGCCCCUCCGUGCCCUCUCCGUGCCACGCGCCCUCUCCGUGCCAAGGGGUUCCAGCCCCAUUGCACGCGACUCGUUCUUGUCGCCGGUGAAGAAUCGUUACUUGUGGUCCAAACAUCCAGCUAGACCAUUGACCCCCAGCCUUUAAGUCAAACAAAUUGUUAAUGAAAUACAAAUGCAAUUACUCGUACAUUGUUAUAGAAAUUGCACACCGUACGAUUUUGUAAACACGACGACAAUUUGAAAAAAAAAAUAUAUAUGCGAGCUUUUUUCGCAUUCACGAAAUAAGCAAAACGAAUAAUGAAACGAGGGCCAACUAAGGAAGAAAUCGAAAAUAUACUAAAUUAGUCGACCUUAUCCAAAAAAACGAAAAUUUUUUCAACGCAUACAGAUAAGCACACCCACAACAACAACAACCAGAAAUUUAAGAACAACUCACGGAAACAAAAACUUCAGUGAAUUCAAUGAAAACAAAUCAGAAUGGGUGUACAAUAGCAAUUAAAAAUAAUAAUAAAUAUAACAGCAACAACAACAUUUAUUAUAAAAAUAUUUACGAUUCAGUUUAUUUACUUACAAAAUCUCAUAUUUUGUAUUUUGUAUAGAAAAUGUAUUUAUUUCAAUUUUUUGUGCUGCCAAUGACGACAACUAUGGAAUCUAAUAGAAAUAAAUGAGUAACGCAGUAAAAGUAAAAAAAAAAAUUAAAUUAAAUAAAAAUAAAAAUAAAAUAAAUGAAAAAGACCUGAGUGCAUAUUUCCCGAGAUUUGUUUUUGCCAACAGCAGAAACCGAAUUAAUUUUCAGUUUUUAUUCAUAAUAUUAACUUUUCGAUAAGUAUUGCAAGCAUUAUGUGUAAAAAAUGAUUUACAUUUAUUCUCAGAGCGCGAAGAUGUUUAAUGUUUUAAGAUUACGAGUGUGAGCUCAAUCGAGGCUCUGUGGUCUUAUUAGGUUUAGGCGUUGUAUAAGAAGUAUUGUUCCUUUUUUGUAUAUUUGCGUAAGUCUUAUUUAAAGCUUAAGUUUGGAUAAAUGAAGAAAAUGAAGAUAAAUGAAGAAAACAUUUCGAAGUAAUAUAUUUAUGUUGAAACACAAAAAAUAAUAAAGGCGCACACAAGCACAUUCACACAAUUGUGUGUGCCAUUGAUGAUUUUUUGUCUGUGUGUGUAAUUGUAAAAUUUACAAUUUAUGUUUCGAAGUAAAUCAAAAACAUUUUUUGAAAAAUUUAA
rnacentral:misc_RNA from 1 species